rnacentral:rRNA from 1 species
AUGACGGACGGCGACCACCGGGACAGUAAGGAACUUGCUGCCCUUGAGAAGGUGUUGCUCGAUGAAACCGCGGAUCCAGUCGAUUUGCCUUUCUCGCUUCUCAAAGCCAUCACAGGGAAUUUUUCCCUAGCUCACGAAAUCGGUAGGGGCGGGUUCGGGGCGGUCUACAAGGGACUGCUUCCAAGUGGUCUUACCGUUGCUGUGAAGAAGCUUUAUGAGAAAUUCGAGGUCCUGGACAAGAACUUCGAAAGCGAGGUCGCAUGUCUCGUGGGGGUCAGGCACAGGAACAUGGUGCGAUUCCUCGGAUACUGCUCUGAGACGCAACACGUAAUGAUGCCGUACGACGGGAAGCUUAUAUGGGCAGAUGUGCGACAGAGGCUGCUCUGCUUCGAGUACCUGCCCAAAGGGUGCCUUGCGGACUAUCUCUCUGAUGCAUCUUGUCGACUUUUGUGGACUACACGUUAUCAAAUAAUCAAGGGGAUCUGUGAGGGUAUACAUUAUCUUCAUCGGCAGCGUAUUAUUCACAUGGAUCUCAAACCUCAGAAUGUACUAUUGGAUGAUAACAUGGUUCCCAGAAUUGCGGAUUUUGGUUUAUCGCGCCGCUUAAGUGAAAGCCGGAGUCAUGCUAUUACUGAAAAGAAGCUUGGGACGAUGGGAUAUAUGGCACCAGAAUUUAUAAUCAAGGGAGAAAUCACCUUCAAGAUAGACAUAUAUAGUUUGGGAGUUAUAAUCAUGGAGAUCCUAAUGGGACGUAAGGAAUGCUCAAAUGUUAAGGAGAUAAGUUUUGCCUCGAAGCUGACGGAUGAGCUGAAGUUGAUGGAUGAUUCUGCUGCACCAUCCCAACAGCAAUCAUCGGAGCUGGAAGUGGAGCAGGAGGAUUACAAAGUGAGCCAAGAGAAGAAGAGGAAGGCAUCAGCCAUAAAUUUCUCCAAGCUGGCAGAUGAUUUGGCGUUGUUGGAUGAUUCUGCUGCACCUUCCCAACUGUUGGAGAUGGAGCAGGAGGAUGGCAAAGUGAGCGACGAGAGGAAGGCAAAGGCAGCAACAGUGAGUUUGGCGACUGAGGUGAUGAGCACCGUCAGUGGCAAGCUUACCACUUUCAGAGGCAACGAGUACAAGAAGCGCAAAGAGGUGAGGAAACAGGCCUCCUUCCUCGAGAAGGAGUUGAGCACCAUAAAUGCUUCCCUGGAGCAGCUAGAGCUCAUGGAUGAGCUCGCUCCAUGGGUAAAAACAUGGAGGCACGAUGUCAAGGAGAUUUCCUACGGCAUGGAGAAUUGCAUUGAUGACUUCAUGCGCCAAUUCGGAGGUGAAGAUGCUGAGACAUGCUUCGUCUGGGAGGCUGCUGAACUUCAUAAGAGGUUGUGCGAACUUCAUCGGCUAGCCAACGAAAUGAAAGAGCUGAGGACUCUUUUGGUAGAAGCAAAUGCUCGACGUGAGAGUUACAAAGUUGAUGAUUGCAAGCCUAGUUUUGGCUCUGUGGCUGUCGACCCCCGACUGCCAGCGGUCUACCAGGAGGCAACCAACCUUGUGGGCAUUGAUGGCCCAAGGGAGGAGGUUGCCAAUUGGUUGAUGAAUACUCAGAGAAAACUUAAGGUUGUGUCUAUUGUGGGUUUCGGAGUUGAAACUUGGAUAAAUAUUCCUUCUCACGAUCGUGGGUUUGACGACAUCAUUGAAGUGCUAAGGAAGUAUCUCGUAGAGAAAAGGUACCUUAUUGUAGUUGAUGACUUGUGGGAUCAAUCAACAUGGAAGAUUAUUAGUUCUGCUUUUCCAGAAAAUGAAAAUGGGAGUAGAAUAAUAGUAACGACACGGUUGGAAGAUGUGGCCAGUGCGGCCUGUCAUAAUGACAGUGAGUGCAUAUACACAAUGAAGCCCCUCAAUGAAGAUAACUCAAGAAUGUUAUUCUGCAACAGAGUAUUCGGGUCCAAAGCUGUUUGUCCACCCCAUCUUCAAGACGUCGCGGUUGAUAUUCUGAAGAAGUGUGGCGGAUUGCCGCUCGCAAUUAUCACUAUAUCUAGCCUAUUAGCUACUCAACGGAGAUCAAUGAAACACUGGGAGAGCAUAAGGAAAUCAUUGGGUGCCCAGUCUUCCACAGUUCCUUCACUGAAAGAGAUUAAUACUAUAUUAAACCUUAGCUACAAGCAUCUUCCUCUUCAUCUCCGGGCAUGUUUUCUGUACCUUGGUAUGUAUCCCGAGGACUAUAUCAUAGGACGGGAUGAUUUGGUUAAACAAUGGAUAGCUGAAGGCUUUGUCAGCAGUUUGCAUGGGCCAGAUUUGGAGGAUGUUGGUAGGAGUUAUUUCAAUGAGCUUGUCAAUAGAAGUAUGAUUCAGCCAUCAGAUACUGAGUGUGGACAGGUGUUGUCUUGCACAGUACACGACAUGAUGCUUAAUUUGAUUCUAAGCAAGUGCGUAGAAGAUAAUUUUAUUAGUGUGGCAUACAACUCUGAGGACAUGGCAAGAUUGCUGCAUGGCUGCAAGUACAAGGUUCGACGAUUAUCCCUGAGCUCCAUGGCUGUUGGUGGAGCAAUAUAUGACACGGCUGUUGCUGCUAGCCUAUCACAAGUUCGAUCAUUUAUGUUGUUCGAGAAACCCGCAGUCAUACCCCCUCUUUUCUGGUUCAAGUAUCUUAGGGUGCUCGUCAUCUUUGCUAGGGGGGAGAAUAUAGUUGACCUCACCUCUAUUAGCCAAUUGUUUCAGCUGAGGUAUCUGAUGGUUACAGUUUAUGACCGUGUGAAGAUAGAGCUCCCUACUAAACUUGGUGAGCUUAUUUACUUGGAGACGCUGGACGCAGGAAAUUGCAGACAAAUAGGGAGCAUCCCCUCAGAUAUAGUUCAUUUGCCCCGCCUGUCUUAUCUAGUUCUUCCAAAUUGGACAAAGCUGCCUGAAGGUAUCGAGAAUAUGAAAUCACUACGCACUCUGCAAGGGCUUGACCUGCAAAAUAGCUCAGUGAAGGGUAUUAUGGGUCUCGGUGAGUUGACCAAUCUGAGGGAACUGGGUAUGCGACUACAUAUAAAUUCAAAGACGCUAAGAGCUGAUGCUUUGGCCUGCUCCAUUGGAAAGCUCUGUGACCUCAAAUCUUUGUCCAUCUUUGGCAAUUAUUAUGAGCGUGAGAAUGUCCAGCAGUUGAGUUCAUUAUCCAAUCCUUUUCAACAUAUUGAGCGUCUUGACUUGAAAUACUGGCAGUUCCGCAGAGUUCCGAAAUGGAUGGGUGCUCUCCAUUGCCUGUGUUUCCUCAAGAUGCAGAUUGGGAAGCCGUCAACUAACGAUGUUCAUCUUCUUGGAGAGCUUCCAUCCCUUGUCCACCUCGAGUUAGGAGGGAGAGUGGUCCCUGAUGAAAGAGUAAUAUUAGGUGCGAGACUAUUCCCGGUUCUGGAGUACUUCGAUUUAUAUUGUGAGGUGGAUAGUACGGCGUUCCUAUGGUUCGAGGCGGGUGCUAUGCCUAACUUACGAACACUCUGUCUCCAAGUGAUGCAUUGGCACGGCAGUAUGCCAGACGGCUUGGAGCACCUGUUACACCUCCAGGAGAUCCUAGUGUAUGGGCCGGGGGCCUUUGAUGAUGUCACUUCCUCGUUCAGGGAGGCCUCGCUGGUGCAUCCAAACCGCCCUUCUAUUAAUGGGAAUGGCGUGUGA